CACGAGAGAGCUUGCUCUCUUGGUGGCGAGUGGCGGACGGGUGAGUAAUAUAUCGGAACGUGCCCAGUAGCGGGGGAUAACUACUCGAAAGAGUGGCUAAUACCGCAUACGCCCUACGGGGGAAAGGGGGGGAUCGAAAGACCUCUCACUAUUGGAGCGGCCGAUAUCGGAUUAGCUAGUUGGUGGGGUAAAGGCUCACCAAGGCAACGAUCCGUAGCUGGUUUGAGAGGACGACCAGCCACACUGGGACUGAGACACGGCCCAGACUCCUACGGGAGGCAGCAGUGGGGAAUUUUGGACAAUGGGGGAAACCCUGAUCCAGCCAUCCCGCGUGUAUGAUGAAGGCCUUCGGGUUGUAAAGUACUUUUGGCAGAGAAGAAAAGGCAUCCCCUAAUACGGGAUGCUGCUGACGGUAUCUGCAGAAUAAGCACCGGCUAACUACGUGCCAGCAGCCGCGGUAAUACGUAGGGUGCAAGCGUUAAUCGGAAUUACUGGGCGUAAAGCGUGUGUAGGCGGUUCGGAAAGAAAGAUGUGAAAUCCCAGGGCUCAACCUUGGAACUGCAUUUUUAACUGCCGAGCUAGAGUAUGUCAGAGGGGGGUAGAAUUCCACGUGUAGCAGUGAAAUGCGUAGAUAUGUGGAGGAAUACCGAUGGCGAAGGCAGCCCCCUGGGAUAAUACUGACGCUCAGACACGAAAGCGUGGGGAGCAAACAGGAUUAGAUACCCUGGUAGUCCACGCCCUAAACGAUGUCAACUAGCUGUUGGGGCCGUUAGGCCUUAGUAGCGCAGCUAACGCGUGAAGUUGACCGCCUGGGGAGUACGGUCGCAAGAUUAAAACUCAAAGGAAUUGACGGGGACCCGCACAAGCGGUGGAUGAUGUGGAUUAAUUCGAUGCACGCGAAAACCUUACCUACCCUUGACAUGUCUGGAAUGC
rnacentral:rRNA from 1 species